CUGUGGGUUUGGGUGCGGAGCGUUGGAGGUGCGCGGCGGUUCCGUUCCGCAGCUGUUGGGACCCACAGCGGAAUCCCCCCCCCCCCCCAACCCCCCCCCCCCCGGCGUGACCCCGAACGGCGGCGCAGCCUCCGGGACCCCCACAGCCCCCCCCGACCCCCCCCGGGUCCGUCCGCGCCGUCGGAGCUGCGGCCGAGCUGGCUUGCAUCCUUGUCACAGCUGGAGGAGAGGUGGAGAUCACCCUUGGUUACCUCCGCGUGCAAAACCCACCUGGAUGGUCACAGCCCUUUGCACAGAGGUCCUUUCCUUCAGCUCGCCCCCAAAUCCUUCGGAGCCAAAGGGGGAGAUGUGGGCACCGGACUGCAGCCUCAGCAGUGGGAAUGGGAAGCCGGGCUGCUGAGAGAGAGGAGGAGGUUGGGGACGUCGGCACCGGUUGCUGUGACUGAGUGUCCCCAUCCCCACACGAGGAUGUCCCAGUAUAUCCCAGAGGUGCUCCUGUGGUGCAAGCCUGGAGGACCUCUGUUGGCCAAGACCGGGUUCCAUGUCCACAUGAAGAUGCCCCAUUACACCCCAGAGGUGUUCCCAUGGCAUCACGUGAGCCUGGAGGACCACUGUUGGCCAAGCCCGGCUUCCAUGUCCGUAGGAGGAUCUCCCACUGCACCCUACAGAUGUUCUUAUGGCACUGGGAGAGCCUGGAGGACCACUGUGGGCCAAAGCCAGGUUCCACGUCCACAUGAGGAUGUCCCAAAACAUCUUAGAGGCAUUCCCAUUGGGCCAUGUGAGCCUCGAGAACCCCUGUUGGCCAAGGCCAGGUUCCACGUCCACAUGAGGAUGUCCCAGCACACCCUUGAGGUGCUCCCAUGGCAUCGUGUGAGCCCUGAGGGCCACUUUUGGCUCUGAGAUGGUCGCAGCGUGGUGAGAUGGCUCUGGGCUGGUUGGGUUUUGUUGGCUUUGUGGAACCCCAAGCAUCCACUUCAGGGGGACCUCAUCUUCUACUCAGCCAAAUGACUCCGGGUGCUGCAGGGCGAUGGCAAACGCAAGGAGACAUUCAACCACGGGCUGCCCUGACCCCAUUCCUGCUCCCCACGGGGGUGGGACAAAAGAUGUGUGAUUUGUAACCCAUCAGGUCCCCAAAAAGCACUUUUCUGUCUCCCUCCGAGCUCCACACCGGAGACGCCGGGCUGCCCCUACCCCAAUUCCCUCCCACCGCAGACGUCGAUCCGCGCAGGCGAAUGGAAACACGGCGCUGGCGAGAGGCUCCCCUGCAGAGCAGUUCCUCAUCCCGACCUGCAACGCACACAAAGAGCAAUUCAGGUGGAGUUACCCCGAGGAGAUUUAUGGCGUCCAGGGAGGCGCACGCGAUCCGAUACCAAAGCAUGAAUCAAAGCAGGACAGCCGGGAUGUAUUUACAUCUGCGCCGCGCGCGCGCGCCGACGUCGCAAGGAGAACACAAAGUCAGUUGGCAAUGGAUGACUGCUGCGGGCUCUGGGGGUGGUGGGGGGCACCUCUGAGCUUCGUGGGUGUAAAAGGGAAUGGGAAGGAUGAUGGUAAUCGAUGGGGUUGCGCUGCAUGGCUUCUCAAGGCCGAGCCAAGGGAUGUAUGUGUGAGGAAAUGGCGGGGGUUUCAUGGCUGGGGGGUAUAUCUGAGAGGAAAGCCCUUGGGUUUCAUGGCUGGGGAUGUAUUUGAGAGGAAAGCCCUUGGGUUUCAUGGCUGGAGGCAUGUUUUAGAAGAAAGCCCUUGGGUUUAGCAGUGGCUGUGGAUGGUGAAGCCUCCAUGCGUCCUCACAUCGGUUGGGUUGCGUGGGCACUCCGGUCCAACUCUGUUAUCCAACAUUUCAACCCAUACAAAGCCCAGUGGUGUCACCACGUGGUGCAGCACCAACCCCACUACCUGGGGUGGUGAUUUUGGGCCCCUUCUGCCAGGAAAUGGCUCACGCCGUGUGAAAACACCCAACCCAGAGCUGUGACAUGGUGUGGACCUUUUGGUUCACCAUUGGGGCUUUCCGGAAAGACUCAUUCCAUGAUGGAUGAACUUUUAAUGGAGAGAAAUAGACAGCCCUUCUUUAAGUGCGGGGUUUAAGUGAAGCCAAUGAUUUAAACAACUUAAAGUCCAUUAAACAAAGGGAGAACUUGGAUCUCAUCAACUCAUUCAUUCUGAGAAGCGCCCGGCCUGGGAUAAACCUGACACUGAGGAGUCAUCAGAGCAUUGCUAAAACAUACGCUUGCCUUCGUAAUGAAAUGUUUUUAAGGGACCAUAAUGGUUACCGUGAGGGCGGUUUGCGUUAGAACCAUUUGAAUUCCCUCAGCUGAGAUCCUUCAAUAGGUGCCCAUCCACUAAUGGAAAGGAGACAUUUCGGAGACGUGAAGGAGUUGGAGACAUUUCGGCCCUAUUUGGAAGAGGUGGGGGCACAGGGAGCGGUGCCAGCCCCUUCCCCAUCUCCACACCCCCACAUUUUCCCCUCCUUUCGUCCCAGGUGGAAAUGGAUGGAAGCCAAACGUGCCAUAAGACGAAGUGUGCUGAUGGGAAGCGGAGCCCAUCGCCUCCAUCACUGACAAACAGGGAGAGGUGGGGUUGGUGGUCGCUGGUUUUCCACUCGCAGUGGUCCAUCAGGGUUACGGAUGCUCUGUGGGUAACAGAAAAUGGUCAUAAUUCCCCCCCAGGUUCAGUGCUUUGGGGUUUCUCAGCAUGUUACCAGCGGGCACCAAUCGGGGUGGGGAGGACGAGAGCCUCAUUUCUCCCCAAGCAGAUAAAAUUUCUCCUCUUCCCAUCCACACAAACCCCAGCCAUAAAUCCUCAGGCUCGAGCAAAUGCAGGGCAGAAGUUUAAAGCAAACCUUACGAUUUUAAUGCCCGGGCUCAACGAAGCAUGGAAACAUUUGCUCAGCAUUAAGUGUGUGCUUAGCACCCCGCAGGAGCCCAGAGCUGCACACAGCAGUGCAGGAACUCCCUUCUUCCUCCCCAAUUCAUCCCCUGUAGGAGCAGAGCGCGGAGGCAGCGAGCCAAGCGUCCGGCCAACGCUGCAGCAAGAUUUAUGGGAGGGGAAGGGACCCGCUUUCUUCCCUGUGAUUAAUAAGGAGAAGACAAGAAACCUCCUCAGAGCCCCAAUGGAGGCAUUUCCCUGGUUUGAUGGGGUCAACGAGAGCCGAAUUCCAGCCGAUGUAGAUAUAAUUUCAUCGGGGGGUUGGAGGGUCCCUUCCAUCCCUCCCACUGCUGCAAGAAGAGAACUGGAAGCGUCUCCUCCCUCCGUGCUGCUCCAGGGCUCGGUGACCCUGCAGCGAUGUUCGGUCCUGGCAGCGGCGUGGCGACGUUCCUGGGAGGAAAACAGAGGAAAUGGGGGUCUGGUGAGGAGGAGCCCCAGUGGGAAUGGUGGGGAGGGAGGAACUGUGCUGCGCAGCCCGUGCUUUGUGCAUGACGGCACUGCGGGCAGGGAUUGCAGUGGGGUCAGGUUCCCAGCACGGGCUGCUUCCCAGGGCCUCGCUCUGCAUGGGGAGACGGAGGGGAACGCUGAAUGCAUUCCUACAAACGCCUCCAAACUCCUCUCCCAUCCUGGCCAGCUCUGCAAAACCCCACCCUGGGAUGCAAGGAUCCAAAAGCCAUCGGGAUGUCGCAUUUACCGACGCCAUUCAUCUACACCCAUCCCCAGGACGGGCUGCAGGAGCCGCGCUGGUGGUCCCAGCCAUUAGCAGAGCCCUGAGGAUGAGUUCCCAGCCCUCUCCCCCAGCCCUGUCCUUGCACAUCAUCCGCCCUCACAUCACUGCUGGAUGUGGCACCGGAGCCCUCGGCGCGGCCACAACUCAGGUUGGCAGCUGAGCAUCCUGGAGCGGCCGAGCGCGGCCGGGAGCCGUAAUUCUUACCCUGCAUUCCCUGCCAGCUCUGCUCCCCGGUGGCACAUAGAUCACCCAGAGGUGUGGAUGGAGAGCAGGCGAUGUAAAUCACAUUAAACUCCACGCGUGGAGCUGCUCGUUCCGAACGCAGCCAGCCUUAAUUCGGUUUAGCUUUGCGAAUUAAGCUCAAGUGAAUUAAACCAACUCUAAUUCUGGCUAAGUGUCCAGAAUGGGGUUUUAUGUGCUCUGGCUAAUCCAUUUUAAAGGUUGAUUUGGGUUAACGUUGAUGGAUGUCCCUUUGUGGGUACCUCUCGGUGCCGCCAGGCUCGCCUGGCCAGGAUUUAUGGCACGGCAGCAACCAGAGCCAUCCACCCCAUGACCUGCGCCAGCACCACGAGCUCCCUCAUUUCCCAGGGAAUGCUACAGAUGAGCUUCAACUGCUUUCCCAAAGGGCAGCGUCUGUUCAUUUUUCUAGCAAACCAGUGUUGGGUUGAGUCCCAUGUUCCAUUCCAGUAUUGAAGGCAGCAUCCAUCCGAUCUUGCCAACCAAUACGCAUCGGGUUGAGUCAAACUGUUCCAUUGCGUUGUCGAAGGGCAGCAUCCAUCUGACCUUGCCAACCAGCUGGCAUUGGGUUGAGUCCCACUUUCCACUCCAGUAUCAAAGGGCAGAACCCAUCUGGUCUUGCCAGCCAAUCAGCAUUGGGUUGAGUCCCACUUUCCAUUCCAGUAUAGAAGGACGACGUCCUUCUGGCUUUGCCAACCAAUUGGGUUGAGUCAAACUGCUCCAUUCCACCGUCACAGGGCAGCAGCCCUCCAGCUCUGCCAACAAACCACCCUUGGGUUGAGUCCAAUGAUCCAUUCCAAGAGAGGAGACACAUUUGGGGCACUGCUCUGAAGGUUCCUCUCUCCUCAGUGGGGGAUUCAUGGGGGGUUCGCAAUUAGUACCGCAGCGUAGACCCGAAGGUGCUGAUUUCUCUUCAUUGAGUGCAGAGAAUUUGGGGCACAGAGCUCCUUAUUUAGGCACGUCUCCUGAAUGACCAACGCUGUGCAGAUGGAAAGUGCACACAGCUAAUGAGUGCCAUUACGUCUCACCCCUUUGGUUCAAAAUGAGGACAGGACCAUCAUCACCUCCCAGCCUUCGCAACGCUGCUCGUGUAAAGGGGGGUCGAGAGGAGGGCCCAAUGCAUCCCACACCAAGAGCAUCGCCCACGUGGGAUCACGCAGCAGCCGGACCCCAAACGUCCCCUCUUCCCAAAAUCAGCCUGGAUGCGUUUCUGAGAAGAGCGCGUCCCCUUGACUUUGUCCUUACAACAUCGGCAGUGAAUCCUGCAGCCUCCACCCUCGCUCCUCUCGCAGAGCAGCCAAUUGGCAGCGGAUCAAUGCAGGAGAGAGUCAGCAGGAGGGCAGCGAGAUGAAUUAUUUCCCUCUGGGAGGCGGAGGGCAGAGCCCAGAGCUGCCCCACAGCCCGCAGGCAGGGCGCUAUAGGGCGAGCAUCGGGAUGGAGCAGCGUGGCAGGAUGUGUUCGCUGCGUCCCCCGCACCCCACGCGUGGCCGUAAGGGCGAUUAGCUCAGUUAAUUUAGCCCCGGGUUGAGGGUGGAAGACAACGUGGAGGCUCCCCGCCCAUCUGCAAAGGGCUUUGGGUCGGGAACACAUCUACAGGGGAACGCUCGUGCAGGGAAAUGUGAAUUAGCAGAGGCUUUGAGUCGAGAGUGCAUUAAUUUAAAGUGCGCUGGAAGCGCAUGCAAAAUGCAUGCAAAGUGCACUCUGCUCGGAACGAAAGCACUCCUCGGUCAAUGGGAGGUGAUUUACUGCCUCUCCCUCGGCGGUCGGGGCAGAAUCCAUCUCUCCUUCCCGCAGGUUGCUGAGCCGAACCGGGUCGGGAAGAGCAUCGCCCUCCGAGGGAGCGACUCCCCGCACAUCCCCGGCUUACGGGACGCAGCGCCGCGCUUCCCGGCUGCGGGGGGAGGACGGGCAGGGAGAGGUGCUGAGAGACGGCAGGGAUGGGAGGAGAAGGGAAAGGUGCGCUCGGAUUUAAACGCACGGCGUCCCGCGGCCCGGCGCAGCCUUCGUUUGCAGAGAGGGCCGACGGCCGUGCGGGCGCUGCAGAGCUCCGGCGGCGCUGCAAAGUAGAGGUGCGGUGUUGAAAGGAGCUGAGUGCCGCCAGUUGGGCUUAAAGCCCGAAGAGCUGAGCUUGCAGUGGGUGCCCUCCUGAAAUAGGUGGGUUGGAGAGUGCCAAAAGGCCGUCAAAAGCCCCCUGGUUUGGGGCUGCGUCGCGUCGGGUGGCACCGCUGUUCUCCGCCACGAGGGAAAUGCCCAGGGGGGUAUUUGGGCCUUUUUGGUGAUGAAAGCCAAUGGGUGUGAGCAGCAGCAGCAAAUCCCUGCUGUGAGGGAGCGGCCAAAAAGCGAGCAGAGGUGAAGCAAAGCUGCACGGCGCCGAAAGCGAACCCUGGGGAGGAAAAGGGUGGAAAAUAGUUGAGCUCUCCUCGAUUUCAGUGUGAAAUCCACUGAUCCACCGGCGGGGCUGAGCUCCCCCAUGCAGGGCUGGGGCUGUGAGCUGCCUGUCUGGGAUUGCCAGCAGAGCGAGCAAAAGCAAUUAACCUAACGAGCAGCGUGGCUCCUGUAGGAAGGAUGCAGGGCGCGGAGCUCGGGGUUUUAAAUCAAUCUCGUGGUGGUGAAGGAUGGAGAGAUGAGCGCGGCCCGGAAAGGAGAUGCUGCUUAAUGAGCCCUCGAGAUGUGCUUUUAAGCAGUGUCCUUCCAGAUGGGAUGAGAUGAGUGUUAAACCACGGGAAGGGGUCGGGGUGUUUGGGGGGGUUCCCACCAACGGGGGAUCCGUGCCAGUCCUCUCCAUUGACUCCAGAGGGAGUCGGGAUGGGCAGAGAGAAGAGGGCAGAACCAAUUGGGUCGGAUGGGACCCUCAAAGGGCACCGGGUCUGACCCCAGGGGUGGGUUUGUGCCCCAUAUAGCACCAGGUCUGACCCCAGGGGUGGGUUUGUGCCCCAUAUAGCACCAGGUCUGACCCCAGGGGUGGGUUUGUGCCCCACGCAGCACCAGAUCUGACCCCCAGGGAUGGAUUUGUGCCCCAAUGGCCUUUCCCAGGGAUGCACUGAGGUUCCCAUGUUGCCCCCCCAGAGCAUCCCCCAUUGGCACUGCUGGGUCGGGGCCUCCCACCCCCUCCCACCCCCUCCCACCGACCCCACCCUCACCAAUAGGACACCUUCACCCCCCCCAUUUGGGACUAUUCUCCCCCAAAACACGAGGUUCCCCAUCACCUCCUCUCACCAUCCUGGACCCCCAGGCGAUGAGGGGCCGCAGCUCCCACCGCCCCGAGCCCCAGAAGUCUAUUUAUUACUCACAGCAAUUAAUAAAGGGCGGGAGGCAGACGAGCAUCUCUCCUGCCUGUUGCUAAUUAGUGCUCUGCUGGCGGGAGGCGAGGAGGAGGCAGAGGCUGCAGGCAGCUCGCUCGCCCACGACGCGUAAUGAAAGCAGCACAACCCUUCGCGUUAUUUAAUCUAAUAGGAGAAUUAAUAUCUGGAUGGAGGGCGAUCGCUUCUGCUCUACAGAUGGGGGCACGCAGCGAGGAAGGGGGGGGGGGGGGGGGGACACCCAGGGAUGCGCCAUCCAUCUUGCUUUAUCCCCAAAAUGCCAUUGGAUUGCAUGGUGGUGGGUGGCUGUCGGCGGCCUUUUGGGGUCUUUUCUCCCCUUUUUGGCUCAGCACGGUGAUUGAAACCCACUCCCCACCCUUCCCACGCUGGUAAAGCCCCCCCCCCCCCCCCCCCCCCACCCCGAUCUCAACGAGGAGCACUGGAAGGGCUGCUGUCUGUCCAUGCGUGGAGUCUCCCCGGGCUGGGUGACAAAUGGCCCCUGUGACAGUAAUGGCAAAAUUAGAAGCUGCAUCGCCGUCCCCUCCGCCCGCAGCCCGCGCUGCGCUGCGCUCCUCCCCAACACGCAGUGCAAAGAAAGGUCAGCGGGCGCCUCGCAUGUUAAUGCAUGGAGAUGGGGGGGGGGGGG
ensembl:lncRNA